rnacentral:rRNA from 1 species
GAUGAACGCUGGCUACAGGCUUAACACAUGCAAGUCGAGGGGAAACGACGGGGAAGCUUGCUUCCCCGGGCGUCGACCGGCGCACGGGUGAGUAACGCGUAUCCAACCUGCCUCUGACUGAGGGAUAACCCGUCGAAAGUCGGCCUAAUACCUCAUGGCAUCGUCUGCGGGCAUCCAACGACGAUUAAAGAUUUCAUCGGUCAGGGAUGGGGAUGCGUCUGAUUAGCUUGUUGGCGGGGUAACGGCCCACCAAGGCUACGAUCAGUAGGGGUUCUGAGAGGAAGGUCCCCCACAUUGGAACUGAGACACGGUCCAAACUCCUACGGGAGGCAGCAGUGAGGAAUAUUGGUCAAUGGGCGGGAGCCUGAACCAGCCAAGUAGCGUGCAGGAUGACGGCCCUAUGGGUUGUAAACUGCUUUUAUGCGGGGAUAAAGUGAAGGACGUGUCCUUCAUUGCAGGUACCGCAUGAAUAAGGACCGGCUAAUUCCGUG